rnacentral:rRNA from 1 species
UACAGAGGGGGCAAGCGUUGUUCGGAAUUACUGGGCGUAAAGGGCGCGUAGGCGGCCUGCUAAGUCGGACGUGAAAUCCCCGGGCUCAACCCGGGAACUGCGUCCGAUACUGGUUGGCUUGAAUCCGGGAGAGGGAUGCGGAAUUCCAGGUGUAGCGGUGAAAUGCGUAGAUAUCUGGAGGAACACCGGUGGCGAAGGCGGCAUCCUGGACCGGCAUUGACGCUGAGGCGCGAAAGCCAGGGGAGCAAACGGG